CUGUGUUGCUUACCCGCGGAAAGGAAUUCGAUUGCUUUUGGUGUGCCCAUCCGCCUUAUACCCCUAAAAGGUGUGGGGCGGACGUGAGGCGGGCUCUGUGUUCCCCACAUGUCGAGUGCAUUGGCGCUCGGUCGUUGUGGCCCAUAGGGUUUCCGCCCGUGCUUUCGGAUGCGGAACGUUGUGUGUGCGGGUUUGCGGGGGUCUCGACCUCCGCUCAUCCGAGCCGCACUUUACAUUGUCCCUCGAAGCGAAUGACCGUCGCGUCUGUCUUGAUCAACCAAUCGGGCUCUCACCGUGGGGUUCCGGGAGGGCUGCUCAUGCGGGCGUCGGCGUCGGAGAGGAAUGC
rnacentral:misc_RNA from 1 species